CCUACGGGAGGCAGCAGUGAGGAAUAUUGGUCAAUGGGCGCGAGCCUGAACCAGCCAAGUAGCGUGAAGGAUGAAUGCCCUACGGGUUGUAAACUUCUUUUAUAAAGGAGUAAAGUGAGGCACGUGUGCCUUUUUGUAUGUACUUUAUGAAUACGGAUCGGCUAACUCCGUGCCAGCAGCCGCGGUAAUACGGAGGAUUCGAGCGUUAUCCGGAUUUAUUGGGUUUAAAGGGAGCGUAGAUGGGUUGUUAAGUCAGUUGUGAAAGUUUGCGGCUCAACCGUAAAAUUGCAAUUGAUACUGGCAGCCUUGAGUACAGUUGAGGUAGGCGGAAUUCGUGGUGUAGCGGUGAAAUGCUUAGAUAUCACGAAGAACACCGAUUGCGAAGGCAGCCUACUAAACUGCCACUGACGUUGAUGCUCGAAAGUGUGGGGAUCAAACAGGAUUAGAUACCCGAGUAGUC
rnacentral:rRNA from 1 species